GCUCUGCUCAAGGAGUUGCUCCCACAGCACAACUCGCAGCGCUACAGCAAGAAGCACCACUAUUCCAAGUGUCACCUAGCAAGAUUACUGAAGAGCAAUUUAAGAAGCGGUACAGGCUCCCAGAUGCCACGCCUCCCUAUGAUCGGUAUAAUCGAAAGAUGUUUCCAGGAAGGGAGAGCGCCGUGCGUGUAGUUGGAGGUUAAAGAUGUGUACGCCACAUUGGUUUUCCAAGACAAGGGCCGGCAAGCAUUUUCUCUAGGCUCUUGUGUUCAUUUGCCCUUUUCAUGCUGUACAAGGCAGAGUGUAAGCACGAUGAGCAAGAACCAGAGUGGCGGGAGUUCCAGUUAGAGAUGGGCUUAGAGUUGGAGGAGGAUGAGGAGGCACAGGAUGAGGAGGCCGUUUUUCUGGACCUGGAGUUUCCACAUGAUGGCAUUGAUCAACCUACUAACGAUGUCACCUCCUCUGAGGAGGGCUUGAUUGGCAUUCCGAUCCUGGAUUGCGUACACUAAGAUUGGGAAUUGAUGUGAAGCACCGCGAUCUGCUAUGUAAAGCUGGUUAGUAUCUGAAAUCUGCGUUAAGAUCUGGUACAGGUUUUCAUGUACGUGGAUCACUGCCAGCUUAGAGAAGCAAGCAAGACCUCCAACAUAUCUUCAUGUAUGUACCAGUUUCUAGUUUCGUGUUUUGAAAUCAAUUUCUGUUUGUUUUGUGUA